AUUGAACGCUGGCGGCAGGCCUAACACAUGCAAGUCGAGCGGAUGAAGGGAGCUUGCUCCUGGAUUCAGCGGCGGACGGGUGAGUAAUGCCUGGGAAUCUGCCCGGUAGUGGGGGAUAACGUCCGGAAACGGGCGCUAAUACCGCAUACGUCCUGAGGGAGAAAGUGGGGGAUCUUCGGACCUCACGCUAUCAGAUGAGCCUAGGUCGGAUUAGCUAGUUGGUGGGGUAAAGGCCUACCAAGGCGACGAUCCGUAACUGGUCUGAGAGGAUGAUCAGUCACACUGGAACUGAGACACGGUCCAGACUCCUACGGGAGGCAGCAGUGGGGAAUAUUGGACAAUGGGCGAAAGCCUGAUCCAGCCAUGCCGCGUGUGUGAAGAAGGUCUUCGGAUUGUAAAGCACUUUAAGUUGGGAGGAAGGGCAGUAAGUUAAUACCUUGCUGUUUUGACGUUACCAACAGAAUAAGCACCGGCUAACUUCGUG
rnacentral:rRNA from 1 species